rnacentral:rRNA from 1 species
UACAGAGGCGGCAAGCGUUGUUCGGAAUUACUGGGCGUAAAGGGCGCGUAGGCGGCCUUCUAAGUCAGACGUGAAAUCCCCCGGCUUAACCUGGGAACUGCGUCUGAUACUGGGAGGCUUGAGUAUGGGAGAGGGAUGUAGAAUUCCAGGUGUAGCGGUGAAAUGCGUAGAUAUCUGGAGGAAUACCGGUGGCGAAGGCGGCAUCCUGGACCAUUACUGACGCUGAGGCGCGAAAGCGUGGGGAUCAAACAGG